rnacentral:rRNA from 1 species
UUUAAGGACACCUAUUUAAAAUAAUUUCUGCCCAAUGAAGCACUUAAAUGGCCGCGUUAAUACGUGCUAAGGUAGCAUAAUAAUUUGCCUUUUAAUUGUUGGCUGGCAUGAAAGAAAACACUUAUAGAAAAUUUAUUUAACUAAUACCUAUAAGUUGGCUUGAAGGUGAAGAGACCUUCAUCGUAUUAAAAGACAAAAAGACCCUAAGAGUUUUACUUUACAAGUUUGGUUGGGGAAACCAAGAAAUAUUUAAAACUUUCUUAAAUACAUAUGAUAUAUAUCUAUAAUUAUACCCUUUAUGAAUCUUUUAAAACUACCUUAGGGAUAACAGAUUAAUCUACUUUGUGAGUUCAUAUUAAUAAGUAGGGUUAAUACCUCGAUGUUGGCUUGGAAAAUAAGUUAAAUGCAAGAAUUUAACCUUAAUAGUUGUCAACUA